UGGACCAAACAAUUCUUUAAGUUGUC
rnacentral:piRNA from 1 species